AACAAACGCUGGCGGCGUGCAUAACACAUGCAAGUCUAACGGGAAAGUCGGCUUCGGCUGGCAAGUACCGUGGCGAACGGGUGAGUAACACGUGGGUAAUCUAACCUCGAGUUUGGGAUAACCUUGCGAAAGCGGGGCUAAUACCGAAUAAGACCACGCUCAGUUCGCUGGGUGCGGUAAAAGGCGGCCUCUUCAUGAAAGCUGUCACUUGAGGAUGAGCCCGCGGCCUAUUAGCUAGUUGGUGGGGUAAUGGCCUCCCAAGGCGACGAUGGGUAGCCGGCCUGAGAGGGGGGACGGCCACACUGGCACUGAGAUACGGGCCAGACUCCUACGGGAGGCAGCAGCGGGGAAUUUUGCGCAAUGGGGGAAACCCUGACGCAGCAACGCCGCGUGAGUGAUGAAGGCCUUCGGGUCGUAAAGCUCUUUUAGUGGGGAAGAAUCCCACCCGGGCUAAUACCUCGGGUGUCUGACGGUACCCACAGAAAAAGUUCCGGCUAACUACGUGCCAGCCGCCGCGGUAAGAC
rnacentral:rRNA from 1 species